AUGAACGCUGGCGGCGUGCCUAAUACAUGCCAGUCGAGCGAACGGACGAGAAGCUUGCUUCUCUGAUGUUAGCGGCGGACGGGUGAGUAACACGUGGAUAACCUACCUAUAAGACUGGGAUAACUUCGGGAAACCGGAGCUAAUACCGGAUAAUAUUUUGAACCGCAUGGUUCAAAAGUGAAAGACGGUCUUGCUGUCACUUAUAGAUGGAUCCGCGCUGCAUUAGCUAGUUGGUAAGGUAACGGCUUACCAAGGCAACGAUGCAUAGCUGACCUGAGAGGGUGAUCGGCCACACUGGAACUGAGACACGGUCCAGACUCCUACGGGAGGCAGCAGUAGGGAAUCUUCCGCAAUGGGCGAAAGCCUGACGGAGCAACGCCGCGUGAGUGAUGAAGGUCUUCGGAUCGUAAAACUCUGUUAUUAGGGAAGAACAUAUGUGUAAGUAACUGUGCACAUCUUGACGGUACCUAAUCAGAAAGCCACGGCUAACUACGUG
rnacentral:rRNA from 1 species